AAGCGUACAUGGUGGAUGCCUUGGCAGUCAGAGGCGAUGAAGGACGUACUAACCUGCGAUAAGCCGUGAGCAGUCGGUAAGAGACAUUACGACUCACGGAUUUCCGAAUGGGGAAACCCACUUAGCAUAAGCUAGGUAUCGCUACGUGAAUACAUAGCGUAGCGAGGCGAACCGGGAGAACUGAAACAUCUAAGUACCCCGAGGAAAAGAAAUCAACCGAGAUUCCCUCAGUAGCGGCGAGCGAACGGGGAUUAGCCCUUAAGCAUCUUGGAAGUUAGUGGAACGGUCCUGGAAAGGCCGGCGAUACAGGGUGAUAGCCCCGUACACGAAAACAACCUUGAUGUGAAAUCGAGUAGGGCGGGACACGUGACAUCCUGUCUGAAUAUGGGGGGACCAUCCUCCAAGGCUAAAUACUCCUGACUGACCGAUAGUGAACCAGUACCGUGAGGGAAAAGGCGAAAAAGAACCCCUGUGAGGGGAGUGAAAUAGAACCUGAAACCGUGUACGUACAAGCAGU
rnacentral:rRNA from 1 species